rnacentral:sRNA from 1 species
AGCAACAACAGCCACAAUGGCAACAACGACAACGAUCGACCGAUCGUGUCUACCGAUAGCAAUUGUACGAGUACACCGGAAACAAAAAGGGGUCGAAAGUACUUUAAUGAAGGUAAUUCAUUUAUUGUUAUAGCUAAAUAACCCAACCAAUCCCCUAUGCAUUUAUAUAAUAUUUAUAAGUUGAAUAGCUAAAGAUAACAAAAAUGUUAAGAAAUCAAUUAUAUUACUUUGACAUAAAAUAUUAUACAAAAAUAAAUAAAAAAAGAAAGCUUUAAAUUUCUUCUAUAUUUGAUCAUAUUUAUGUAUAUAAGAUAAAGAUGUAUCUUUAUUUCUUGCAGUGUAUCAGCGAGUGGUACGGGCGAGUGUGCUUGUGUGGGUGUUUGCAGUGCAAGAGUCGAAGCAAAGAACCAGCAACAACAGUUACGAGUAUUGCUGAAAAGGGAAAGGGCGCUCGGCUCUGUCAUUGCGAAAGGAGUGGGAGCGAGUGAGAGAGAGAUGCUCGUCGGAGAUAUAUCAACAAGUCAAUGCCAAAUGUUUUUUAUUUUUAUUACUUUUUUAGUACCAGACUAAUUAACCUAUUAAUAGGGCACCCAAACGAGAUGGGGUCUUCAAAAAAGAAUCACAGACCAUGCUUUUAGAAAAAUAUAAGCCUAUACUUUACUAAAAUAAUUAGUACAAUUGCUUAAUUUGCAGUUUUAUGAGUGCUUUGCUGGAUAUAUAUCACAUAAGCACUUAUAUAGUUGAAUGCGAUUUCACACAUGGGUUGUUUUCAUUCGGUUACUGGUUUUUGUGCUUAUAGAUAGGCACUACCAAUAAUUUAUAUGCAAACCAAAUCUAUUUGAAUGGAAAAGCUUGAAAUUUCACACAAUCUAACCUUUUUGUUGCAUACUUUCGCACACUUUGUUUGUCACUUUUUUUUUUCAAAACACUGGCUAUUUGAAGAAAUUGAACCCAGUUAACUGGGUUAAGAAAAGCAAGUGACACAUAGAAACCAUGAUCUCGAAAAUUACACGUAUUUAAGAACUCGAAGAAUUUCUAAUUCUCGGUUGACCAGUGCACUGAUUUCCUACCAUUCCGCACAAUUUCCAGUGAUCACUGCUCUCGUACCUUAAUGACAGAAUCUGGUGGCCAAUGAACACCUAUGCACGUUGCACAGGUAAGGAAAGUUGGCAAUGCAGGUGCCGUUAUGAGCGAUGCAAUGGUCAAGAAUUGGCCAUGAUCUCGGUCGUUCGUAAAAAUGAUGAAAAGCUCGGAAAGCACGGAAAUGCCAUAGAAAAUUGCUUAAUGAACCGUUUCGCUGCGCGUCUGCUCCAAAUGGCCUUCGUGGCCAUCAUGGUCAUAGAAUCUCUCGCUCGUCACCCAACCAGUCCAAUGGAUCACAGUGGACCGAACCAAACCAAGUCACAGAGCGAGUUCAGUGCCAUUAGGCAAACUGCCACCGAGAACAUUUCCACAAACUAUUCCCCAUACCGUCCAUAAAAGUGGUUAAAUAUGUAUAAACACACAGAACACUUCACAUAUCUGCCGGCGAAACACGAGAAUAUUUAUUGCGUAGGAAACCCUACCGAGAUGAUGCUGAAUGCGGCACACUUCAAAUUGCGAUUCGGUUGGGAUCGGAAAUCGAAAAGGGGACAGGAGAGGUGGCUAAAGGGGAUUGGAGCAGUCUCGAUGGCUGGUGAUGAGGUUCCAAGUUUAAUGGUUGCAGAAGAAAAAGUUUAAGAUGAGAUUGCAUUUGGAAUUGGACGAGCCAGCGAGGCAGGUUUCGCUCUAGAUUUACGUAAAGUACCCGACUCGAAGGACACGAAUCACACUUGCUUGCGCCGCCACUUCCGAUUCGUUGGAGAACUCAGCGCGAACUGAGAUCCGAUGAGAUGAUGGCUUGGCCACAAGGCUGCAAAGAGACUGGUUUCCCAUGCGAUUUUCGCCACCAUUUGGCAGUAAUAAAGAGGCAACAGCAGGAGCGGCAGUAACUGCACUAGCGACGACCACGUCGACCAAGUCCUGAGCGCCCGAACAGCUGACUUUUUCAGCCGGUUUUUGUUAACGGCGAAUUCGGGGGUCAGAAAGAGAGUUAAUCGCAAGCUCACUCUUCAAGAGCAACGAACAAAGUUCUCUAAGCAAAUACACAUUUAAAAACUGGUUGAAUUUGAGUGAAUUGUGCAUAGUAAAUUUAACUCUUCAUAAGAAAGUGUUUGUACCCUUUUUAUAUUCCUAUAAUACAAAAUAUUAAAUUAAAUUCAUA